rnacentral:misc_RNA from 1 species
AACGCACCUUGCGCUCUCUGGUAUUCCGGAGAGCAUGCCUGUUCGAGUGUCGUAACCCUCUCAAUCCAACUGGUCUUUAUUGACUAUGCUGGGUUGGAUUUGGGCUCUGCCGUGUUACAGCGGCUAGCCUUAAAAGUAUUAGCUGAAUCUAGUCGUAGACUGGUUUGACUCGGCGUGAUAAUUAUCUGACCGCUGAGGACAUCGCAAGAUGGCCAGACAAGACAAUGAAUCGCUUCUAAUCGUCGUUCAAUGCGACAAUUUACCACACCUUUGACCUCGGAUCAGGUAGGACUACCCGCUGAACUUAA